rnacentral:rRNA from 1 species
UACGUAGGGCGCAAGCGUUGUCCGAAAUUAUUGGGCGUAAAGAGCUCGUAGGCGGCUUGUCACGUCGGGUGUGAAAGCCCGGGGCUUAACCCCGGGUCUGCAUUCGAUACGGGCAGGCUAGAGUGUGGUAGGGGAGAUCGGAAUUCCUGGUGUAGCGGUGAAAUGCGCAGAUAUCAGGAGGAACACCGGUGGCGAAGGCGGAUCUCUGGGCCAUUACUGACGCUGAGGAGCGAAAGCGUGGGGAGCGAACAGG